rnacentral:rRNA from 1 species
CCACGUCAGGCUAGAUCACCCG